GUUUUAAUAGUUUAAUACAAAACUUUGGUCUUGUAAAUCAAAAAUAAUUAAGAAAAUUUUAAAACA
rnacentral:tRNA from 1 species